CAGGAGUUCGGAACCAGACGGAGGAGACCCUAAACCGACGGGCUAGAGAAAAGGUGAAGCCCCAUCGAACCUUCAAAGGCAGAAGGGGAGGGCAUUCUGCCACCACUCAGCCUCUGCGGUCCGAGAGAAACCCUGGAACCAACCAACCUGCUCCUGGGAGGUCAGCUGUCCUUAGGGAAGCAAGAGCGAAACAAGGGCAUGGUAAAAGGAAAGAGGCUCACCAAAAUCAUCGACUGCAACAUUUAAGACCCACAGCCCAGACGCAACAGCGAGGGGUACUUAAGGUGAAAGCAAGACAUAACAGCAAGAGACCUGCAGAACCCCACCCCUACCGCCAAAAGGCACACCACACAACCCGAAAGAGAUCGACGGGAAAGCCAAAAUGGCCACAACCAAGGGGGAUACCGAAACCACAGAGACCGGCAUGGCCCCAGGAAACAGUCACACAAUACAACCACAACAGGACCCAGAAGACGUUGACCAGAAAGUUAACGAAACCACCAAAGAAAUGGCUAAACUGAUGAAACAAUUAGAAGAGAUGGUGGCCAAGGUCGAUACUCUCAGAGGCAGCAUUACCUCCUUGGAGAGGAAGAACCAGAUACAAGGAAAGCAUUUACAACAAGUACAUAAAGAAAACAGGGAGCUGAAAAGCAAGCUAGCGGACCUUGAGAAACGCUUAACAGUGGUUUCAAACUCUUCCAAUGCAGCCUUGUGUUAGUGUGUUGUUUACAAUAGAAUAAAACUUGCUAACUGUU